rnacentral:lncRNA from 1 species
AUGAUUUCCACUUACUCGUUUACCUUGGAUCCGAAAUCAUGUGAUCCAAGUCAUGAAAAAGAUAAAACCGAAUCUAUUAUAAGUAGCAACACAAAAUUCUACAGGUAUUAGUUAAGCUUAAGCAGCCAUAGCUAAAAGAUAAAAACUCAAAAGAAGAAGCAACCAACCAGUAUCACAAGUCACAACCUCUUCACCAGCUCGAAGGCAAGUAAGCAUGAACCGCAUACCCAGUCUUCCAAUUAUCCAAAUACACAACCUUCCUCACAGCCCAAACAGAAACAACCAUCGCUAUAAUCAUAAUCGUCCUCUGAACAACCGCACUCCUCACCCUAACCAAAACAUGAGUAACAAAAGCCAACAACAAACCAACAACCGUGUACAAAAACCCGAUCGCAAACCCCUCAGCCCCCAACUGCAUCCCAGACCCCUGGUAAAAGAACACCAGCUUAUUCGGAUCAUUCCUAUCCGAUAUAAACAACGGCAUCUUCCUAAUUAUGUUAUGCAUCGUCCCCGAAACACUAAAGAAGUACACAAACACAGAUCCGGAUAACCAAAACCUCUUAUCAUGAAACAAAGUUUCACCAGCUAAUAACUUCCUAAACAGAAACGGUAACGAUACUAAAAACGCAGCAAUUACAAGCCCUAACUGAGUUUUCGAAAGAAGCGGAGGACGAUGAAUGUUACCGAUUGUUAGUUUCGUCUUCGAUUGGAUAAACUGCGCCAUAGAUUCCGCUAAACCGGAGAAAUCUCCGGCGUCCAUUGCAACCGAGCCGGAUUUCAGAUCUACGGCGUCCGGUGGAAGGAGGCGGAUGUGCGGCAGCGCAUUGACGCCGAACUGAGCGAACGAUUGUUGCGAUUCGCCGAACUCGAUAUCGCAGAAGAAGAGUUUGUUGAGUGUAGAUCUGGAGUCUUGGUGGUUGAUUGAGAAGGAUUUUGAUAGUAAAAAGAAUUCCGAUUUGAGUGAUUUGAGGUGGAGUUCGGAUUUGUCGUGGAGUUGAACGGCGUCGAAGAAGAUGAUUAUUGAGAAGGAGCGGGGUCUGGUAGUGAUGAUGCGGCGGAGCAGGUGGUCGGAGAGGUGGAUGACGGAGGAAGUGGAGCGGGAUUGGAUGGACUGGAGUUCGGAGAGGAGAUCGGCGUCGGCGGAGGUGGCGGUGGUGAGUGGUGGUGUGGUGGAGAGUG